rnacentral:lncRNA from 1 species
AAAAAAAAAAAAAAAAAAAAAAAAAAAAAAAAAAAAAAGGGCAAAGCCCAAAAUAAAUGGGCUGGAAUGUUGUGGAGGGCGAAGGCCCAUAAACCCAAAAUAACACCAACCAGGCCAUCAAAAGUACGCCCAGUACUCCACAAUUAUUCGGCAACCCGCCGUUAUUACCACCAACCAAGUGAUGAAAUGUACAACCCGUACUCUAAUAUCAUUUGGCAACUAGUCAUUCAUGCCACCAACCAGGUGAUGAAAUGUACAACCCGUACUCUAAU